GUAGCGGUUUUGGUGUGAUGGGCAUUUCUUGUAUCUGCCCCCUAAAGAAACCCUCUUGCCUCUUGUAGCUUUGUUGAACUAAAGCACACAGGUAACGGUCGUUUGGGU
rfam:Helicobacter ailurogastricus isolate ASB9 genome assembly, contig: Scaffold_005